UCCAAGAUCAAGGCACCAGCAGAUUCUGUGUCUCAUUUGUCCUCACAUGGUGGAAGGGGCAAAGGGUUUCUCUCUGGCCUCUUUUAUAAGGGUUGGAACUCCAAUAUGGUGCUGGUAGCCAGCUGUGACCAAGGAGAGGACAACCGGAGCAACAAUCUUAGACACAAGGAUGGAAGCUGUAAGGCAGGGGAGGAGUUCCAGGGUCCCUAGAGAACUUCAUGGAGCUGAGGACGUCCUUCCUGUUUUGCAGUGUUGCAUGAGAGAGGAAUAACAUUCUGUAUUAUUUGGCUGGGCGCAGUGGCUCACGCCUGUAAUCCCACCACUUUGGGAGGCCAAGGUGGGCGGAUCAACUGAGGUCAGGAGUUCAAGACUAGCCUGGCCAACAUGGCAAAACCCGGUCUCUACUAAAAAAUACAAAAAUUAGCCAGGCGUGGUAGAGCAUGCCUGUAAUCCCAGCUACUCAGGAGGCUGAGGCAGGAGAAUCACUUGAACCCUGGAGGCAGAGGUUGCAGUGAGCCGAGAUAGUGCCACUGCACUCCAGCCUGGGUGACAGAAUGAGACUCUCAAAAAAAAAAAAACCUGUAUUAGUUAAGCCAUGUCAUAUCGGAUCUUUUUGUCACAGCAGCUAGUUUAUGCUGUAGCUAAACCACUGCGCUUCUGUCUUGUUCAGAUAAUCUAGGUCUCCACCCACCCAUAAAUCCUCCCUACAGCCUGUGCCUGGGUCCUGGUAUCCUGCUGACCUACAAAUAUCUUCCUGGAUUCCUGAAUAUCACCACCUCCAGGAUUAUUGAGCCCCAUGCUCUGUCUGUUGGGACACUUCCACUGCUCUGUGUGGAGCUGCCUUAUGCAGACUGCUGGCACUACCAGAGUUUGCCUGUCACCACACCCUUCAGAUUGUCAAGCUCUAGCUUCGCUGUCCCUUCAGCUGGCUUUGUUUCCCUGGAGUCUCCCCACUCCUGAUAGAAAGUUGGCCUUGAGGCCCUAACUCUUUCUUGUCCAUCCUGUCCUGCAGCAAUUAAGUAUGCCCCUCCUGGCUAUGUCCUGAGUUAUAUAGGGAAAGGUUUGCCUGGCUCCUCACAGGAAGCAUACCAUGGAAGUACAAAUCCCCACCCCCAAUACCUUCCCUGGCUUACCCUGAAGCUGAGUAGAAUUUCUGCUCGCAGUGUCAAACCAGCUGGUGACCAUAUAGGGCUUUUUCAAUAGAGAUACAUUUCGUUGUUUGCUAGCUUACACUUAUGUUUGUUUUCCUUCCUGCAACUUUACGGUGGACAUCAGAUACUGAUGUUUGCCUGAGGAUGUGUACUGCUUCAGGAACACAAAUUUCACAUUUGGAAUGUGCACAAGUCUAACUUCAGGUUAACAAUCACCUGUGCUCAUAGUAAGAAAUGCUUUUGAUUAACACUGGGGUGUGGAACAAAACUCAUCUGGUAUCCUAGAUUAGGCAGCUACUAUUUAUUUAUGCAAAACAGUAAAGUCAUUAGAGCCCCCAUCCCUGGUAAUUGUCUCAGAAAUUGCAUUCCCUGGCCUCACAAUUCAUUUUAUACAAAGCAAGAAGUUAUUUGGGUUAAUAACCUUGAGUUUUAAUGACUCAAUCAAUAUUUUGGUUUCUGCAGGCUGCUUUGCUACUGUAAAUUUUGAAUACAGUGCUUGUGGGGUAUAUAAAUAUUUAGCUAGUCAUUGAAGCAUCAGUUAAUGCAAUAAUUUAGUCUGUUCUUUAAUUUAGAAAAUACUGUUGGCAAUGAACUGGUAUGAGGUGUUUAUUUCAGCUGCUCUCAUAGACUGGGAAACCAAAUUGCUGCUGUGCUGUAUGGUUUAUUACUUUGUCACAUUGCAAAUCCAUACUGCAAGUAUCUCUUUUAGAUUAAUCUCCUUCAAAUAGAUCUUGAAUAACCUAGUCACUUGCCUCAGAUGGUUUUAUCCUGAUUUUAAAUUUACAACCAUGCUUCUCUGUCUGUUUUAAGAUUUGCAGUAUUGUGUGUUUGUGUGUGCAGUAAAUUUACACAUGUACUAGGAAUCACAACCAGGACUGAUUACAGAUUUCUUCCUUUUAGAAUGUGAUGACUUUGAAAAAGAAAAACCUAUAUAUUCAGAGUUCAAAUACCAAAUAUAGCUUUCAAAUACCAAAA